GAUGAACGCUGGCGGCGUGCCUAAUACAUGCAAGUCGAGCGAACAGACGAGGAGCUUGCUCCUCUGACGUUAGCGGCGGACGGGUGAGUAACACGUGGAUAACCUACCUAUAAGACUGGGAUAACUUCGGGAAACCGGGGCUAAUACCGGAUAAUAUAUUGAACCGCAUGGUUCAAUAGUGAAAGACGGUUUUGCUGUCACUUAUAGAUGGAUCCGCGCCGCAUUAGCUAGUUGGUAAGGUAACGGCUUACCAAGGCGACGAUGCGUAGCCGACCUGAGAGGGUGAUCGGCCACACUGGAACUGAGACACGGUCCAGACUCCUACGGGAGGCAGCAGUAGGGAAUCUUCCGCAAUGGGCGAAAGCCUGACGGAGCAACGCCGCGUGAGUGAUGAAGGUCUUUGGAUCGUAAAACUCUGUUAUUAGGGAAGAACAAAUGUGUAAGUAACUAUGCACGUCUUGACGGUACCUAAUCAGAAAGCCACGGCUAACUACGUG
rnacentral:rRNA from 1 species